UACGGAGGGGGCAAGCGUUGUUCGGAAUUACUGGGCGUAAAGCGUGCGCAGGCGGUUUUGUAAGCCAGAUGUGAAAUCCCCGGGCUCAACCUGGGAAUGGCAUUUGGGACUGCAAGGCUGGAGUUUGGCAGAGGAGACUGGAAUUCCUGGUGUAGCAGUGAAAUGCGUAGAUAUCAGGAGGAAUACCGAUGGCGAAGGCAGGUCUCUGGGCUAUAACUGACGCUCAUGCACGAAAGCGUGGGGAGCAAACAGG
rnacentral:rRNA from 1 species